rnacentral:sRNA from 1 species
UUCAGCAUUUAACUCAGAUGCUGAACGUGAAGGAUAACGUUGCGACAGCAACGGCCCGAAGGGCGAGGCGAAGUCGAGUCAUCCUGCACGACCCACCA